GCAGUGGUAGUUCAGUGGUAGAAUUCUCGCCUUCCAUGUGGGAGACCCAGGUUCAAUUCCUGGCCAAUGCA
rnacentral:tRNA from 2 species